CCUACGGGAGGCAACAGUGGGGGAUAUUGCACAAUGGGGGAAACCCUGAUGCAGCGACGCCGCGUGGGUGAAGAAGCGCCUCGGCGCGUAAAGCCCUGUCAGCAGGGAAGAAAAUGACGGUACCUGAAGAAGAAGCCCCGGCUCACUACGUGCCAGCAGCCGCGGUAAUACGUAGGGGGGAAGCGUUAUCCGGAUUUACUGGGUGUAAAGGGGGCGGAGACGGCGAUGCAAGCGAGGAGUGAAAGCCCGGGGACCAACCCCGGGACUGCGCUUGAAACUGCGUGGCUAGAGUGCAGGAGGGGCAGGCGGAAUGCCUGGUGUAGCGGUGAAAUGCGUAGAUAUCAGGAGGAACACCGGUGGCGAAGGCGGCCUGCUGGACUGCAACUGACGUUGAGGCCCGAAAGCGUGGGGAGCAAACAGGAUUAGAUACCCCAGUAGUC
rnacentral:rRNA from 1 species